UUUUUUUUGUUUACUUAUAUUGUUUUUAUUUUUAAUGGAACUUUGUCUUACAGUGGGAUUGUUAUACAGUUGCCAUGCUGUGUUGGAACUCUAUUUAAGUUUUUUUAAGUUGUAAUAUUUUGUAUACUAUGUUAAAUGGCGAAGUGUCAAAAGGAAGGCAAUUAGCUAAUUUCCGAGUUUCCGUUCUUGGGACAAAGCGUAAACAGUCGGAAAACUUUUUUUUUUAUUAUGUGUCAAUGCAAUAAUUUCAAUCGGGACAUUUCUGAGGAAAAAGAAACAUUAUGGGCUUUCUUUGCUCAUUGUUGAAGGCCGUACGGUGACCUAUUUUUAUUAGUUUCUGUGUCGUUUUUGGUCUCGUGUGGAGAGUUGUCUCAUGGGCAAUAAUACCAAAUUCCUUAAAAUGACGAAAAUUGAAUGAAUUUUCAUUUGUUUGGAUCAAUUCACGGGUUAUUUCAGCGUCUUUGGAGAAAAACAGUAUGUCUUCUUUUAAUAAUAAUGAAAACAGCCAUUAAAUUCAAUUAAUAUCAAUUGAUAGAUAGAUUUGCGUUCU
rnacentral:lncRNA from 1 species